rnacentral:rRNA from 1 species
CAAUAGCGUAUAUUAAAGUUGUUGCGGUUAAAAAGCUCGUAGUUGGAUUUCUGCUGAGAACGACCGGUCCGCCCUUUGGGUGUGUAUCUGGCUCUUUCUUGGCAUCUUCUUGGUGAACGUUGCUGCACUUGACUGUGUGGAGCGCUACCCAGGACCUUUACUUUGAGGAAAUUAGAGUGUUUCAAGCAGGCAUACGCCUUGAAUACAUUAGCAUGGAAUAAUAAGAUAGGACCUCGGUUCUAUUUUGUUGGUUUCUAGAGCUGAGGUAAUGAUUAAUAGGGAUAGUUGGGGGCAUUCGUAUUUAACUGUCAGAGGUGAAAUUCUUGGAUUUGUUAAAGACGGACUACUGCGAANGNAUUUGCNAAGGAUGUUUNCAUUG